rnacentral:rRNA from 1 species
UGAACGCUGGCGGUAUGCCUAACACAUGCAAGUCGUACGAGAGUUUUUAACUCUAGUGGCGGACGGGUGAGUAACACGUGAGAAUUUGCCUUUAGGAGGGGGAUAACAAUUGGAAACGAAUGCUAAUACCCCAUAUGCUUUUGAGUGAAAUGGAUUUUAUCCGCCUAGAGAGAAGCUCGCGGCUGAUUAGCUUGUUGGUAAGGUAAGAGCUUACCAAGGCGACGAUCAGUAUCUGGUUUGAGAGGACGAUCAGACACACUGGAACUGAGACACGGUCCAGACUCCUACGGGAGGCAGCAGUGGGGAAUUUUCCGCAAUGGGCGAAAGCCUGACGGAGCAAUACCGCGUGAGGGAAGAAUGCCUAUGGGUUGUAAACCUCUUUUUUCAGGGAGGACAAAAUGACGUGUACCUGAAGAAUAAGCAUCGGCUAACUCCGUGCCAGCAGCCGCGGUAAUCUGAUG